rnacentral:tRNA from 1 species
GGAGCUGUGGCUCAGGGAUAGAGCCUCUCUGCUUGGCAUGCAGAAGGUCCCAGGUUCAAUUCCCAGAAUCUCCA